UCUCCCAGAAUGAUGCUGAGUCUCACUUUGCGUUUCUAUAAGGAGGUGUAACCCUUUUCUCUCUCACUUGUCAGUUACCAUGAGGCUUUUAGCAAGCAGUGCUGUGUGAAUGUGCAGCUUCUAGAACUAUGGGCUAAAUUAAUUUCAUUUCUUUGUAAUGCUGUCUUGUAACAGGGUUUUAGUACAGUCCUAUAAAGUAGACUGUUAUGCAAGUUGAGGUUACAUGCUAUAAAGAAGCAUAAAUCUAGUGUAGUGGGAUGGCUAAGGAGUCAACAGGCUUCAAGUCAUCCAAAGCCAGCAUUCGAUUCUUUGUUUUGAGAUUUUUCAUUUUCAUUCAACUCUAAAAUGCAUCAGUGCUUUUAUUUGCUUUGUUUUGCUUUGAGAGAAGGUCUCACUAUGUAGCCCAGGGUAACCUUGAACUGACUAUGGUACUGUGGUCUUAAACCUAUAGACGUCUUGUCUCUGCUUCCAGGUCCUGCUCUUCAGUGCUCCAGGAACCACAGGCCUGGUCCACCAUGCCUUGCUGUUCUUUUUGAGCUAUAUUGUAUAUGGGAUACUAAACAAAGAGAUGGAAUCAGAUACUGCAUAUUCCAGCCCACAAGCCUUCUCGUGUGGACACCAAGCCUGGCUGAGCUGAAUCUCCACAUAAGGCUGCCGCUCUCUGUCGACAACACCAUAAUGAGACAGCCGCUUCUCCCUGUUGCUACCCGAGGCUGGGUGCCGCCAUCUGAGGAGCAUACUGCAGGGCUCACCACCUCUCCAGAGACAACUCCGCCUGUGUGCUCAGUGUUUGAGAGGAAGUACAAGACACCAGAGGGUGCUUGUUCAGGUAUACAUUUCAGGUGAAAUUUUUGAGUCCCAGGUGAGGCUAUAGCCUUGAACAUGGGAUUCUUCUGGGAGUAAUUUAUCAUUUAAUGCACAGAGACUGGAAAUGAAAGUGCCCUGCACUUACAUAUUGUAAAGGCCAAACACAUUCUCUUUUUAGUCUUAAAAUUUU
rnacentral:lncRNA from 1 species